UGGCUCAGGAUGAACGCUGGCGGCGUGCCUAAUACAUGCAAGUCGAACGAACUUCCGUUAAUUGAUUAUGACGUACUUGUACUGAUUGAGAUUUUAACACGAAGUGAGUGGCGAACGGGUGAGUAACACGUGGGUAACCUGCCCAGAAGUAGGGGAUAACACCUGGAAACAGAUGCUAAUACCGUAUAACAGAGAAAACCGCAUGGUUUUCUUUUAAAAGAUGGCUCUGCUAUCACUUCUGGAUGGACCCGCGGCGUAUUAGCUAGUUGGUGAGGUAAAGGCUCACCAAGGCAGUGAUACGUAGCCGACCUGAGAGGGUAAUCGGCCACAUUGGGACUGAGACACGGCCCAGACUCCUACGGGAGGCAGCAGUAGGGAAUCUUCCACAAUGGACGCAAGUCUGAUGGAGCAACGCCGCGUGAGUGAAGAAGGGUUUCGGCUCGUAAAGCUCUGUUGUUAAAGAAGAACGUGGGUAAGAGUAACUGUUUACCCAGUGACGGUAUUUAACCAGAAAGCCACGGCUAACUACGUGCCAGCAGCCGCGGUAAUACGUAGGUGGCAAGCGUUAUCCGGAUUUAUUGGGCGUAAAGCGAGCGCAGGCGGUCUUUUAAGUCUAAUGUGAAAGCCUUCGGCUCAACCGAAGAAGUGCAUUGGAAACUGGGAGACUUGAGUGCAGAAGAGGACAGUGGAACUCCAUGUGUAGCGGUGAAAUGCGUAGAUAUAUGGAAGAACACCAGUGGCGAAGGCGGCUGUCUGGUCUGCAACUGACGCUGAGGCUCGAAA
rnacentral:rRNA from 1 species